rnacentral:rRNA from 1 species
GACGAACGCUGGCGGCGUGCCUAAUACAUGCAAGUUGAGCGCUGAAGGUUGGUACUUGUCCCGACUGGAUGAGCAGCGAACGGGUGAGUAACGCGUGGGGAAUCUGCCUUUGAGCGGGGGACAACAUUUGGAAACGAAUGCUAAUACCGCAUAAAAACUUUAAACACAAGUUUUAAGUUUGAAAGAUGCAAUUGCAUCACUCAAAGAUGAUCCCGCGUUGUAUUAGCUAGUUGGUGAGGUAAAGGCUCACCAAGGCGAUGAUACAUAGCCGACCUGAGAGGGUGAGCCGCCCAAUUGGGACCGAGACACGGCCCAAACCCCUACGGGAGGCAGCAGUAGGGAAUCUUCGGCAAUGGACGAAAGUCUGACCGAGCAACGCCGCGUGAGUGAAGAAGGGUUUCGGAUCGUAAAACUCUGUUGGUAGAGAAGAACGUUGGUGAGAGUGGAAAGCUCAUCAAGUGACGGUAACUACACAGAAAGGGACGGCUAACUACGUG